rnacentral:rRNA from 1 species
CCUACGGGGGGCUGCAGUGGGGAAUAUUGGACAAUGGGGGGAACCCUGAUCCAGCCAUGCCGCGUGUGUGAAGAAGGCCCUCGGGUUGUAAAGCACUUUCAGUGAGGAAGAACGCCUGGUGGUUAAUACCCAUCAGGAAAGACAUCACUCACAGAAGAAGCACCGGCUAACUCCGUGCCAGCAGCCGCGGUAAUACGGAGGGUGCGAGCGUUAAUCGGAAUUACUGGGCGUAAAGCGCGCGUAGGUGGCUUGAUAAGCCGGUUGUGAAAGCCCCGGGCUCAACCUGGGAACGGCAUCCGGAACUGUCAAGCUAGAGUGCAGGAGAGGAAGGUAGAAUUCCCGGUGGAGCGGUGAAAUGCGUAGAGAUCGGGAGGAAUACCAGUGGCGAAGGCGGCCUUCUGGACUGACCCUGACACUGAGGUGCGAAAGCGUGGGUAGCAAACAGGAUUAGAUACCCUUGUAGUC